rnacentral:rRNA from 1 species
UGGGGAAUAUUGCACAAUGGGCGAAAGCCUGAUGCAGCGACGCCGCGUGAGGGAUGACGGCCUUCGGGUUGUAAACCUCUUUCGGCAGGGACGAAGCGCAAGUGACGGUACCUGCAGAAGAAGCACCGGCUAACUACGUGCCAGCAGCCGCGGUAAUACGUAGGGUGCAAGCGUUGUCCGGAAUUACUGGGCGUAAAGAGUUCGUAGGCGGUUUGUCGCGUCGUUUGUGAAAACCAGCAGCUCAACUGCUGGCUUGCAGGCGAUACGGGCAGACUUGAGUACUGCAGGGGAGACUGGAAUUCCUGGUGUAGCGGUGAAAUGCGCAGAUAUCAGGAGGAACACCGGUGGCGAAGGCGGGUCUCUGGGCAGUAACUGACGCUGAGGAACGAAAGCGUGGGUAGCGAAC